AACGAACGCUGGCGGCAGGCCUAACACAUGCAAGUCGAACGCCCCGCAAGGGGAGUGGCAGACGGGUGAGUAACACGUGGGAACGUACCCUUCGGUUCGGGAUAACUCAGGGAAACUUGAGCUAAUACCGGAUACGUCCGAGAGGAGAAAGAUUUAUCGCCGAGGGAUCGGCCCGCGUCUGAUUAGCUUGUUGGUGAGGUAACGGCUCACCAAGGCGACGAUCAGUAGCUGGUCUGAGAGGAUGAUCAGCCACAUUGGGACUGAGACACGGCCCAAACUCCUACGGGAGGCAGCAGUGGGGAAUAUUGGACAAUGGGCGCAAGCCUGAUCCAGCCAUGCCGCGUGAGUGAUGAAGGCCCUAGGGUUGUAAAGCUCUUUUACCCGGGAAGAUAAUGACUGUACCGGGAGAAUAAGCCCCGGCUAACUUCGUGCCAGCAGCCGCCGUAA
rnacentral:rRNA from 1 species